GAUGAACGCUGGCGGCGUGCCUAAUACAUGCAAGUCGAGCGAACGGACGAGAAGCUUGCUUCUCUGAUGUUAGCGGCGGACGGGUGAGUAACACGUGGAUAACCUACCUAUAAGACUGGGAUAACUUCGGGAAACCGGAGCUAAUACCGGAUAAUAUUUUGAACCGCAUGGUUCAAAAGUGAAAGACGGUCUUGCUGUCACUUAUAGAUGGAUCCGCGCUGCAUUAGCUAGUUGGUAAGGUAACGGCUUACCAAGGCAACGAUGCAUAGCCGACCUGAGAGGGUGAUCGGCCACACUGGAACUGAGACACGGUCCAGACUCCUACGGGAGGCAGCAGUAGGGAAUCUUCCGCAAUGGGCGAAAGCCUGACGGAGCACCGCCGCGUGAGUGAUGAAGGUCUUCGGAUCGUAAAACUCUGUUAUUAGGGAAGAACAUAUGUGUGAGUAACUGUGCACAUCUUGACGGUACCUAAUCAGAAAGCCACGGCUAACUACGUG
rnacentral:rRNA from 1 species